rnacentral:lncRNA from 1 species
GAAAACGGACGGGAAUUCAUCAAGAUCGGACAAGUGCUCGCAGUACAUACAUUGAGCACGGCCUAGGUCAAGGCCGUGCUAAUCACCACGGCCUCGAAUCUAGCCGUGACCAACCAUGAGCUUUUGGUCUUCAAAACAUGGCACUUUGGGCACGGUUUCCGUAGCCACCACGGCCUCUAGCACGGCCCGUGGUGGCUCAG